rnacentral:rRNA from 1 species
UACGUAGGGUGCGAGCGUUGCCCGGAUUUAUUGGGCGUAAAGGGCGCGUAGGCGGUGAGAUGCGUCCGUUGUGAAAUCGCCCGGCUCAACUGGGCGGGGUCAGCGGAUACGGUCUCACUCGAGCAAGCUAGGGGGCAAUGGAAUUCCCGGUGUAGUGGUGGAAUGCGUAGAUAUCGGGAGGAACACCAGUGGCGAAGGCGGUGGCCUGGGGCGUUGCUGACGCUGAGGCGCGAAAGCGUGGGGAGCGAUCCGG